rnacentral:rRNA from 1 species
AUUGAACGCUGGCGGCAUGCCUUACACAUGCAAGUCGAACGGUAACGGGCCUUCGGGUGCCGACGAGUGGCGAACGGGCGAGUAAUACAUCGGAACGUGCCCGAUCGUGGGGGAUAACGAGGCGAAAGCUUUGCUAAUACCGCAUACGAUCUACGGAUGAAAGCAGGGGACCGCAAGGCCUUGCGCGGACGGAGCGGCCGAUGGCAGAUUAGGUAGUUGGUGGGAUAAAAGCUUACCAAGCCGACGAUCUGUAGCUGGUCUGAGAGGAUGAGCGGCCACACUGGAACUGAGACACGGCCCAGACUCCUACGGGAGGCAGCAGUGGGGAAUUUUGGACAAUGGGCGCAAGCCUGAUCCAGCCAUGCCGCGUGCAGGAUGAAGGCCUUCGGGUUGUAAACUGCUUUUGUACGGAACGAAAAGCCUUCUUUUAAUACAGGAGGGUCAUGACGGUACCGUAAGAAUAAGCACCGGCUAACUACGUG